AAAGCUCCGGCGGUGCAGGAUGAGCCCGCGGCCUAUCAGCUAGUUGGUGAGGUAACGGCUCACCAAGGCGACGACGGGUAGCCGGCCUGAGAGGGCGACCGGCCACACUGGGACUGAGACACGGCCCAGACUCCUACGGGAGGCAGCAGUGGGGAAUAUUGCACAAUGGGCGAAAGCCUGAUGCAGCGACGCCGCGUGAGGGAUGACGGCCUUCGGGUUGUAAACCUCUUUCAGCAGGGAAGAAGCGAAAGUGACGGUACCUGCAGAAGAAGCGCCGGCUAACUACGUGCCAGCAGCCGCGGUAAUACGUAGGGCGCAAGCGUUGUCCGGAAUUAUUGGGCGUAAAGAGCUCGUAGGCGGCUUGUCACGUCGGUUGUGAAAGCCCGGGGCUUAACCCCGGGUCUGCAGUCGAU
rnacentral:rRNA from 1 species